UACGUAGGGGGCUAGCGUUGUCCGGAAUCAUUGGGCGUAAAGAGCGUGUAGGCGGUCCGGUAAGUCCGCUGUGAAAGUCGGGGGCUCAACCCUCGAAUGCCGGUGGAUACUGUCGGGCUAGAGUGCGGAAGAGGCGAGUGGAAUUCCUGGUGUAGCGGUGAAAUGCGCAGAUACCAGGAGGAACACCUAUUGCGAAGGCAGCUCGCUGGGACGUAACUGACGCUGAGACGCGAAAGCGUGGGGAGCAAACAGG
rnacentral:rRNA from 1 species